rnacentral:misc_RNA from 1 species
AAGUCGUAACAAGGUUUCCGUAGGUGAACCUGCGGAAGGAUCAUUAAAGAGAAUAUGCCCUUCGGGGUAGAUCUCCCACCCUUUGUUUAUAUUACCUUUGUUGCUUUGGCAGGCCCGUCUUCGGACCACCGGCUUCGGCUGGUCAGUGCUUGCCAGAGGACCCAAAACUCUUAUUAUUAAUGUCGUCUGAGUACUAUAUAAUAGUUAAAACUUUCAACAACGGAUCUCUUGGUUCUG